rnacentral:rRNA from 1 species
UACGUAGGGUGCGAGCGUUAAUCGGAAUUACUGGGCGUAAAGCGUGCGCAGGCAGUUCGCUAAGACCGAUGUGAAAUCCCCGGGCUUAACCUGGGAACUGCAUUGGUGACUGGCGGGCUAGAGUGUGGCAGAGGGGGGUAGAAUUCCACGUGUAGCAGUGAAAUGCGUAGAGAUGUGGAGGAAUACCGAUGGCGAAGGCAGCCCCCUGGGCUAACACUGACGCUCAUGCACGAAAGCGUGGGGAGCAAACAGG